UACAUAGGGUGCAAGCGUUGUCCGGAAUUAUUGGGCGUAAAGAGCUCGUAGGUCGUUUGUUACGUCGGAUGUGAAAACCUGAGGCUCAACCUCAGGCCUGCAUUCGAUACGGGCAAACUAGAGUUUGGUAGGGGAGACUGGAAUUCCUGGUGUAGCGGUGGAAUGCGCAGAUAUCAGGAGGAACACCGAUGGCGAAGGCAGGUCUCUGGGCCAAUACUGACACUGAGGAGCGAAAGUCUGGGGAGCGAACAGG
rnacentral:rRNA from 1 species